rnacentral:rRNA from 1 species
CGUACACUCCUACGGGAGGCAGCAGUGGGGAAUAUUGCACAAUGGGCGCAAGCCUGAUGCAGCCAUGCCGCGUGUAUGAAGAAGGCCUUCGGGUUGUAAAGUACUUUCAGCGGGGAGGAAGGCGAUAAGGUUAAUAACCUUGUCGAUUGACGUUACCCGCAGAAGAAGCACCGGCUAACUCCGUGCCAGCAGCCGCGGUAAUACGGAGGGUGCAAGCGUUAAUCGGAAUUACUGGGCGUAAAGCGCACGCAGGCGGUCUGUCAAGUCGGAUGUGAAAUCCCCGGGCUCAACCUGGGAACUGCAUUCGAAACUGGCAGGCUAGAGUCUUGUAGAGGGGGGUAGAAUUCCAGGUGUAGCGGUGAAAUGCGUAGAGAUCUGGAGGAAUACCGGUGGCGAAGGCGGCCCCCUGGACAAAGACUGACGCUCAGGUGCGAAAGCGUGGGGAGCAAACAGGAUUAGAAACCCGAGUAGUCCCA